UACGGGGGGAGCAAGCGUUGUUCGGAUUUACUGGGCGUAAAGGGCGCGUAGGCGGUUCGUUAAGUCCUGUGUGAAAUCCCCCGGCUCAACUGGGGAACUGCACAGGAAACUAGCGGGCUUGAGUUCGGGAGAGGGAAGCGGAAUUCCGGGUGUAGCGGUGAAAUGCGUAGAUAUUGGGAGGAACACCAGUGGCGAAGGCGGCUCACUGGACCGGUACUGACGCUGAGGCGCGAAAGCGUGGGGAGCAAACAGG
rnacentral:rRNA from 1 species